rnacentral:rRNA from 1 species
AACGAACGCUGGCGGCAGGCUUAACACAUGCAAGUCGAACGCCCCGCAAGGGGAGUGGCAGACGGGUGAGUAACACGUGGGAACGUACCCUUUACUACGGAAUAACGCAUGGAAACGUGUGCUAAUACCGUAUGUGCCCUUAGGGGGAAAGAUUUAUCGGUAAAGGAUCGGCCCGCGUUGGAUUAGCUAGUUGGUGGGGUAAAGGCCUACCAAGGCGACGAUCCAUAGCUGGUCUAAGAGGAUGAUCAGCCACAUUGGGACUGAGACACGGCCCAAACUCCUACGGGAGGCAGCAGUGGGGAAUAUUGGACAAUGGGCGCAAGCCUGAUCCAGCCAUGCCGCGUGAGUGAUGAAGGCCUUAGGGUUGUAAAGCUCUUUCACCGGAGAAGAUAAUGACGGUAUCCGGAGAAGAAGCCCCGGCUAACUUCGUGCCAGCCGCCGCAGUAA